AGGACAGUUAGAGCAAUCCAUUAGCAGAUCGCUAAUAGAGCAGCUGUAGGAUUCUGGAGAACUCACAGAGGAAGGAGUUCUAAUAUACCUAGAGAGAGAGUAAUCAUUGCUAGCAUUCCUAUUCGUCUUAAUGGCAGUUGCACUACUGGUGCGUGCAGCCCAGAAGUGUGCAACCUGGAUGUUGCCAUCUUUGCUUUAUAGAUUCACACUUUUGAUGCUCUGCUACUUUUGGCCAUUCAUGAAGCAUUUACCAGCAGGAGCCAAACUCUGAUCCACUGGAUGAGCCAUGAUUUAGGAUGAUUUAAGACAAACAACAUUAAGAACUGACCGCUUCAAGGAGGCCUGGAGCAAAUUGAACCGCUGAUUGAAUCCAAAGCCAAAGGACAUUAAAAGAAUCAAGACCCACUUGAGUUUGAUGGAGGGCAAAAGAGACAGAUGCAGCUGUACGUCCACGAGCUAAAGCACAUCAUCCUCAACAACAGGCAUCAGACUCUUCAGGCUAUGAGAGCGAGCUGUUGCUGGAAUUGCAUCAGCCAAUCGCAGAUGCUACAUCACUUCCAGGUGUUUUUACCUCUUAUUGACCACGGUCUGCUGGGAUGUCCUCUCUGUGUGGGCCUGCUUUCAUAAACACCAUUACACAUAACUUCUUUAUGCGUUUCCCUCGGCCUACCUUCAAUUACGGUUGCAGCCACUCUCGCCUUCAUGUUAAUUUGUGCGUUGAGACCUUUGAGCUUUGUGAUGAGCUGGUGUUAAUCACACAGCUCACACCACAACUGUGUCCACAGCCCCUCGGAGAUUGCCUCUGAUCAGAGCAAAAUGACUUGACAAGUCUGUGAUUCCAACAAUUCAAGACACCAGUUUGCCCGAGGACAAGGGCGCAGCCCAAACAUCCCAUAAUUACCUUGGGGGAGAUGAAAAUGCAGAGAGAACAGGAAAUCUUGAGGCAGAAAUACACAGAACACUCAAUCCUACAUCUUACCGGUUGCUGCUGGGGCAUUACGGCAGGAGUGUAAUGGAGGACUUGUUUGCAAAUGCAAAUUAAAAUUAAAUAGAAGGGAAAGGAAAGGAGGCCAACUUUGAUUUGGUGUUUGUUUUCCCACUCAACUGACCCAAACCUCUUCC